rnacentral:rRNA from 1 species
AAUGCUGACAUAAGUAACGAUAAAGCGGGUGAAAAGCCCGCUCGCCGGAAGACCAAGGGUUCCUGUCCAACGUUAAUCGGGGCAGGGUGAGUCGACCCCUAAGGCGAGGCCGAAAGGCGUAGUCGAUGGGAAACAGGUUAAUAUUCCUGUACUUGGUGUUACUGCGAAGGGGGGACGGAGAAGGCUAUGUUAGCCGGGCGACGGUUGUCCCGGUUUAAGCAUGUAGGCUGGUUAUCCAGGCAAAUCCGGAUAAUCAAGGCUGAGGUGUGAUGACGAGGCACUACGGUGCUGAAGUAACAAAUGCCCUGCUUCCAGGAAAAGCCUCUAAGCAUCAGGUAACAUCAAAUCGUACCCCAAACCGACACAGGUGGUCAGGUAGAGAAUACCAAGGCGCUUGAGAGAACUCGGGUGAAGGAACUAGGCAAAAUGGUGCCGUAACUUCGGGAGAAGGCACGCUGGUGUGUAGGUGAAGUCCCUGCGGAUGGAGCUGAGACCAGUCGAAGAUACCAGCUGGCUGCAACUGUUUAUUAAAAACACAGCACUGUGCAAACACGAAAGUGGACGUAUACGGUGUGACGCCUGCCCGGUGCCGGAAGGUUAAUUGAUGGGGUUAUCCGUAAGGAGAAGCUCUUGAUCGAAGCCCCGGUAAACGGCGGCCGUAACUAUAACGGUCCUAAGGUAGCGAAAUUCCUUGUCGGGUAAGUUCCGACCUGCACGAAUGGCGUAAUGAUGGCCAGGCUGUCUCCACCCGAGACUCAGUGAAAUUGAACUCGCUGUGAAGAUGCAGUGUACCCGCGGCAAGACGGAAAGACCCCGUGAACCUUUACUAUAGCUUGACACUGAACAUUGAGCCUUGAUGUGUAGGAUAGGUGGGAGGCUUUGAAGCGUGGACGCCAGUCUGCGUGGAGCCAACCUUGAAAUACCACCCUUUAAUGUUUGAUGUUCUAACGUUGGCCCCUUACCGGGGUUGCGGACAGUGUCUGGUGGGUAGUUUGACUGGGGCGGUCUCCUCCCAAAGCGUAACGGAGGAGCACGAAGGUUAGCUAAUCCUGGUCGGACAUCAGGAGGUUAGUGCAAUGGCAUAAGCUAGCUUGACUGCGAGCGUGACGGCGCGAGCAGGUGCGAAAGCAGGUCAUAGUGAUCCGGUGGUUCUGAAUGGAAGGGCCAUCGCUCAACGGAUAAAAGGUACUCCGGGGAUAACAGGCUGAUACCGCCCAAGAGUUCAUAUCGACGGCGGUGUUUGGCACCUCGAUGUCGGCUCAUCACAUCCUGGGGCUGAAGUAGGUCCCAAGGGUAUGGCUGUUCGCCAUUUAAAGUGGUACGCGAGCUGGGUUUAGAACGUCGUGAGACAGUUCGGUCCCUAUCUGCCGUGGGCGCUGGAGAAUUGAGGGGGGCUGCUCCUAGUACGAGAGGACCGGAGUGGACGCAUCACUGGUGUUCGGGUUGUCAUGCCAAUGGCACUGCCCGGUAGCUAAAUGCGGAAGAGAUAAGUGCUGAAAGCAUCUAAGCACGAAACUUGCCCCG